rnacentral:pre_miRNA from 1 species
AUCACCUGGGAAUCUUAGUGAAAUGCAGAUUCUGGUUCAGUAAAUUUGGGUGGGGCCUGAGACUCCGCAUUUCUAACAAGCUCCCAGGUGAUGCCAA